AAAGGACAACACAGCAGAGUCAGCUUCCUGACCCAAUGGGACCUUGGGAGGGGGGUAUAAAGGAAGGUGUAAUUUCCUUAAUAAACAACUAUGCAGCACGCUCUGUUACUCACUGACUCCCUGUGUCUGAGUACUGAGGCAUUGGUGCUGCAUCUUCUCACCCACUCCCCCAAGGGGUGUCUGAGCAGGAUCACCGGCAACACUGACACAACAUAAUAAGUCAAGGACCCUCCAAAGAAUCUCCCAGUGAACAUAAGCCAAGUGCUAAGUGGGAAGCUCACAUUGAAAAAUAUGUGCUGUCCUUGUUGGAUUUGGUGGCAUAAACCUGCAGUAUCUGCUACUUGAACUGCUGCUCCUGAUGAGGCAUUAGGAUUGCAACUUCAAAAAGAAUUCAAGGCCAUUUGAAAAGACAUAUCCAGUCCAUGAUCCAAGACUUAAGAGAUCCCCUCUGACACGAUCUCAGUUCAACAUUAGCUGAUCACACAUUUUCUUCCCACUGGAUGUAAGAUGAAUAAGGAGUUCUGAAUGCAUCAAUGUGCAAAAGACAGUAUAUUUUCAUGGAAAAUAAUCACAAACAACAAACUUAGAGUAAAAUUAUGCAUGAAUGUUGCUUUUAUUCAAAUAUAAUUUUUAAGCUCAAUUGUCAGUAUUUUCUCAAACAUGACACAACACUGCAAUGGGACAAUCUCUAAGUUAAGACUUGUAAACUUCAACUUUAUAGAAGUACUUUUAGAAAAUUCUGUGACGUGGGAUGUCUUUCUGUAUGUUUUGAAUAUGUGUUGCUCUGAUUGGUUGAUGAAAAAUAAAGCUGCGUUGGCCUAGGACAAGGCAGGAUAGAGCCAGACAGGAAAUCCAAGCAGAGAUACAGGAGUUGAAAGGUAGCAUCUGGGAGACAUCAGCAGUCAUCAAGGAACAACAUGCAAGAGCACCACCUGUAAAACCACAGGCCAUGCGACAAUACACAGAUUAAUAGAAAUGGGUUAAUUUAAAUAUAGGAGCUAGCUAGUAUUAAGCCUGAGCCAUUGGCCAAAUAUUUAUAAUUAAUAUAUAAUUCUCUGAGUGAUUAUUUAGGAAUGGGUAUGGGGCUGAGCAGGACAAAAAAAAGCCUUUGGUUACAGUUCUGAUGUAUUGCUUACCAAAGUUUAUGUUAUUGUACCUAGAAUAAUUCUAUCUGUUGCCAAUGGUUUAGAACAUAACCUCUGGCUUCUUUUGGCACAUGGCAGUUAAAAGAGCAAUCUUUCUGUAUUUAUAUGACAGAGGAGACACAAUACAUUAUGCACAAAUAACAGUGUGCAAAAUAUAAUCCAUCCACACCCAUAUUCAAAGGGCGUUUCCUAAAAUUCCUGUCAGUGCUGAUUUUUUAAUCACGCUGUUUAUGCUUUAAAUGCAUUUAUAUCCCCUCUUGUUGCAAUUAUUCCCCUUAUCACAUCCUUCCCUCUAGUAAACAACUACCUUUGGGAUGAGAUAUUUUUGUUAAAAUGCUACUUAUACUGACCUUCCUGAAAGUUAUAAAGGUUUAUGUGGGAUAGGUUGUAUUAGAUCCACUUUUCUCCUUGCUUUUGAUCAAUAAAAUUAAGAAAGCUCUCCCCAAGAAUUUUGAUAAUCCUUUGUAUCUAUUGGAUCUAGUAUUAUUGCCAAUACAAUGUUUUUUUAUUUGGUUAAACCAGGAAUAGUUGCUGGAAUACAAAGAUAGUUCUCAAAGUGCCCUGUAUAAUUCAUAAUAUGACUAAUAAUAUAGCAAACAUAUUAGCAGACAUUAAUCAAAAGAUGGGUAAAUUGAAGAUCACAAUUUUACAAAAUAGAACUACUAUAGUUGUUACUCAAAUAUAAUCUUAGUUUUCAACAAUUUCCUGGGAUAUCUUGCUUUAAUAUGUAAGAUUUUUCCCAUACUACUGGUAGUCAAAUUAAUGAUUUGCAUAGAGAGACACACAAAUUCUCUCAAGGAACUUUUGAAUGGGCAUUAUGGCUAAAUUGUCUUUCUCCUUUCCUUGGUCCUCUGUUAUCUAUUAUAAUUCUCUUACGCUUGACUAUGUUAAUUAGAUUAGCCAUAAAGUCAAGGAAUUCAUUCAUGGCCACUAUUACAGACACUACCUCUUCCUUAAAAAAUUAGAAAUGGGGAGAUGCUGAAGGAUGUGAAGUCCAUGUGCUUACAGAAAGAAUUAGAGAAACCAGAAUUAUUAAACAGGCUUUUUGCUUCAAUGAAAGAAGUUGACACCUGUUUACCAGGAA
rnacentral:lncRNA from 1 species